rnacentral:lncRNA from 1 species
UUAAUUGCAUAAAUUCUUCUCCAUUUUAAUCAGUUCCCUACAUGUUAGUCCAUAGUCCACAAUUACUUUACUAAUAGAUACAAAAACUUAGCAAGUGAACACAUAUUAUUUGAAUAAAGAAUUAAAAUUAAUCUUUCUUUAUUUUAUUACGUCUUCAUUUUUCUUUGUUCUCCUUGUUUCCUUUAUCCUGUGAUAUAUUAGUGAAGAAAAUAUCAUAUUCUCUGUCUGAUUCUAUAUAUUUAUUUCAUGUUUUGGUGGGAUGCAUGACCGAACAAAUAGCUAGAGUGGGUAAAUCUGUAGCGUACAAAGCACUUGUAAUACCAUUUUGUCGUAGCAUGUACAACAGCUCGUGCAUUGGCCGUCCACACGGUAAUCAGACCCGACCAUACGGUAAUCAGACCCGACCAUAACACGAGGACAAGCAGGGAAGUGUAAACUUACUAGUCGUUGAAUAAAUUGUUCCAACUUGUUUUGGAGUUUGUUGUUUACUUGAUUUACUUACCAAGUACACGAAUCAGUCAAUAGCAAUUUCGCUAUAAUUGUAUUAGUCAAUUUGAGUUUGCUUUGCUUCCUAAUUUCUUGCUAAAAUAAGGUAAACUAAUGCCUGUAUCAC